rfam:Macaca mulatta chromosome 3, whole genome shotgun sequence.
AGCUUUGUGCAGUGGCAGUAUUGUAGCCAAUGAGGUUUAUCUGAGAUGUGAUUAUUGCUAACUGAAACAGAUUCAUAGUGCACAGAGAGUGGGAUUUGUAGUUAGCUACAUCUAGAUUUUGAAAUCCCCACCCCACUAUUUACCAGUUGGAUAAACUUGGAG